CCAUUUCUUGUCCCUUUUUUUAAAAAAAAAUCAAAGAGAGCACCCCUCCCCUCUCCCCAUUUUCUCUGUUAGGGUUUCAAGAACCCAUUUUGCGUCGUCUCCAUGCCUGCCGAUCGAGAGAAGAGAGUUUCUCUCCCGCCUUUUUGGGUUUGAUUUCGGGGACGGAGAGAGGGUCUCUGACGAAACGACCACGAGGGAUUUCGGGUAAGUCUUCUCCUCCUCUUUUUUUAUUCUUUUAUUUAAAAUAGAUUUGUAAUAAAUAAAAAAUAAAAAAGAAACAUGAAAUCGGAAAGGAAACCAGAAAAGAAAAAUAAAAAAUCGACCUUUUUUAAGCCUCUGUUCUGCUUUUGGAUAUUUUUUAAUGUGUGUAAAAAAUUACAAAGGGAUCGAAUAUGGGAUUUAUAUUUCAUUAUUUUGCUUUCUCUUCUUUUCUUCUCCUUUCUUUGUAACACCCCUUAAUCGGGACGUAUCGAGCAAGAGAUAUCACAUUUGGACGCCAGAACUAAGUUAAUCCAAUUAUCAAAUUCAAGACUUUACUUUAACAUUAAUAGACUUUCUGAAUUUAGUCAAGUCAUUUCUAGGCUUAUUUUAAAAUUUGGAUACAAACGGGGGUUGUUCUGGGCUUAUUCAGGUCAGAAUAGGGUAACAGGGUCAAUGUCGGGACAUUGGGAAUUGAGUGUCACGACAUUGUACUGAUGUUGUGACAUUGAUUUCCUGAUGUCACGACACUGAUCUCCAGAUGUGGUGACAUCGAGAACAAAUUACUUGACGCUGAAGGUCAAAUAUUGCUACACAGGAGACAAAUUGCCUAGAAUAUAUCUAAAACAUCUAAAACCGAGUUUAAACUAUCGAAAACCAUUCCAUAAUACAUCUAAACAAUUUUAGUAUCAAAAUAUAUCAAAUUAUCAUUCAAAACAUCUAAACAAUUCUUCCUUGAUGAUGUGACGAGGAUGAGAAUGGCCACUUCUACGGGUACAAUUUACUUUUUUUGUAUUCAUAUUAAAUUCAAUGUGAAUUAUUAAAUUGAGUAUAUUGUAUGGUACGCAAGAAACAUACAACAUAUGUCAUUUUUAUUAUAUAAGUAUCAAGUGAUUAUUAUUUUUUCAAAAUGUAUCAUCAACGACAAUUAGAUUUGAAUUUUGAAAUUCAAAAUGCAAAUUUCGUUAUAGUUUAAGUUCCAUCAUGCAUGUCUUGACUUAUAUGAAGUGGUCAUUAAAGCUCUUGUUAGAGAUUGUAUAUUAUAUAUGAUUAUUUACAUUUUUAAUCAAUAUAAUUUAUAUAAUAUUAGAAAAUAAAAAAAAGGACAUAUGACAUGUUCUAAUAGCGCCAUGUGGUCGCUCAACAUUGGUCAACACUCGCUCAACGGCCGGUCAACGAUCGGCCAAAGACAAGUUUUUUUUAAUAUUUAAAUAUUUAAUUUAUUUUAAAUAAACAUAAUUGUCAUGUGGCAUUUUUUCAUUGGCCAAACUUGCCUAACAUAAUUUUUUUAACGCCCAUUGUAAAAUGGACCAAAAAUAGAGGAAAUUGAUACUUUUAAGUACUAAGUUAAGAAAAAAAAAAGUUUACCAAAGUGGAAAAUGAAUAUGCUUGUGAAUUAAGCCUAAUAAUAAUAACAAUACCAACGUUUGUUCUAUAUUACAUUUUAGUUAUAUGGUUAAAAUAUAUUUUUAAGGCCUAGUUUAACAAUACUUUUGAAAAGCGCUUUUAAAAAGUGCUUUGGAGAAAUACUUUUGAAAAGUUUGAUUUAAUAUUUGAGGGUUUAGCAUUACUCUCAAAAAGUGUUUUUGAAAAAUAAAAUGUUCAUUCUAGACAUGAUAUUAUCAAGUAACAAAUAUAAAUUUAAAUAAUGUUCAAAUUAAUUAAUAUUAUUGCAUUUUAGUAAGAAUAUAAAAAAAAUUUAUUAUAACUGGUUGUUAAUAUUUUAAUAUAUGAAGUAUAAAUUUUAAAUAUUUUUAAGCAAUAAAUAUUAAUUACUUAUAAAAUUUAAUUAGAAUAUAUAAACUCUAUUUUAAAUAUUUAAAUAUAACCAUUAAAUAUUUGUAAUUAGAUAUUAACACAUUUGUAUUAUUUUUUAAAAAAUAUAUUUUUUUAUUUUUAAUUAAUGAUUUUAACACCUUCUUUGUUUCGACGCCUAGAGGAAAUCAAUAUGCAGAACAAUGAUUGGAAUAAAGGUUAUGAGAUGUGGAUGGAGAUUGAACAUACUCCCAUACAAACAUAUGGAGUGAUAUGACAAGGGCAAACCAUGGGUACAUUGCAAUGUGAAAACAAGUGUAAUAUUAUUCUCCAAUCUUUAAAAUAAGUGUACCAAAAUAUUUGUUAAAGAAAACAAGUUCACAGCUCAAAAACUUAGUUCA
rnacentral:lncRNA from 1 species